rnacentral:misc_RNA from 1 species
GAUGAAGAACGCAGUGAAAUGCGAUAAGUAAUGUGAAUUGCAGAAUUCAGUGAAUCAUCGAAUCUUUGAACGCACAUUGCGCCCCCUGGUAUUCCGGGGGGCAUGCCUGUCCGAGCGUCAUUGCAACCCUCAAGCUCAGCUUGGUAUUGGGCCCCGCCGACCCGGCGGGCCCUAAAGUCAGUGGCGGUGCCGUCCGGCUCCGAGCGUAGUAAUUCUUCUCGCUCUGGAGGUCCGGUCGUGUGCUCGCCAGCAACCCCCAAUUUUUUUCAGGUUGACCUCGGAUCAGGUAGGGAUACCCGCUGAACUUAAGCAUAUCAAUAAGCGGAGGA